rnacentral:rRNA from 1 species
GACGAACGCUGGCGGCGUGCUUAACACAUGCAAGUCGAACGGAAAGGCCCUGCUUUUGUGGGGUGCUCGAGUGGCGAACGGGUGAGUAACACGUGAGUAACCUGCCCUUGACUUUGGGAUAACUUCAGGAAACUGCGGCUAAUACCGGAUAGGAGCUCCUGCUGCAUGGUGGGGGUUGGAAAGUUUCGGCGGUUGGGGAUGGACUCGCGGCUUAUCAGCUUGUUGGUGGGGUAGUGGCUUACCAAGGCUUUGACGGGUAGCCGGCCUGAGAGAGUGACCGGCCACAUUGGGACUGAGAUACGGCGCAGACUCCUACGGGAGGCAGCAGUGGGGAAUAUUGCACAACGGGCGGAAGCCUGAUGCAGCAACGCCGCGUGCGGGAUGACGGCCUUCGGGUUGUAAACCGCUUUCGCCUGUGACGAAGCGUGAGUGACGGUAAUGGGUAAAGAAGCACCGGCUAACUACGUG